AGAAAAAAUAUUAUGUACCCAGCAAACACCAAAUAUAAAUGCAAUAUAACGUGAGAGUAACAUGUAAUAUAACAGACGUUACACUCUAUUUAUAUUAUAGUUACGAAACUUUACUACAUAUAUGUGAUGUAACAAAGUUAUGAAGCUAUAAUAUUACUUCGUUAUUUGUAUGUUACAAUAACCGGACAGUGAUGUAACCACAAUGUUGCGUGGUUACACAACAAUUGUUUUACUUAUGUUAUAUAAAUAUUAUAAAAUUUGAAUCUUGUGAGACUCUAACCUCAAUCGCACAACGUACAUCUCGUGCAUUAGGCGCGCUUUCCCCUAGUGGAUGCUAUAAUGACGAAAGAGAGACGUUGUUUUCUUGCAACUUGACUUUAAUCAGGAUUCUGCCAAUUAUUCUUACAUCAUUCGGACAACUGUUCUUCUUAAAAUUUAAAAGAACGUAAAGAAUAACUGAAGUUCAUAAAAGUUGAAGAAAUUUUCACAAGGAUUAGAACAGCCUGCGACCACAUCAUCGGCAGCCUGCCAUAAGAUAAUGACAUACUUGAAGAACUAGGAGAAAACUGAACUCAAAUGGAAGCGCUUGCACUCAUGUCACUAUCAUGUCCUGACAAUUUCAGAUUUUAUAAAACUAUAGGAGACGUGAUUGACGUUGAGAUUGUGAUUGACAGCUGGAGCAAAGCUAUAAUUUAGUUCAACAUUACGUGAAGUUUAUUUAAUGUUUUUCUCUUAUUUUCCCUCGUUUUUUAUAUUUUUAAAAAUUAUUUUUAAAAUAUAU
rnacentral:lncRNA from 1 species